rnacentral:lncRNA from 1 species
GUUUCCUCUUUCAUUUAUGGAUAUGGUAUGAAAGAGAGGAAGAACAGAUAAAUAUUUUAUUGCCAGCUGUUUGGGAUGACUUGCAUAACUCAAGAGAAAUAAUAGAGAAGUUACAUGAGCAAGGUGAGAAGACGUGCCUUGAUGUGGAGACAUGAAAUAAAACAAACUGCCUUGCCCACAGGAAAAUGGAGGUGGAAGGCAGGAAGUGAUAUGGUUUAAAAAUAAAUCCAAAGGCAGAGGCCAC